rnacentral:rRNA from 1 species
GGUGAGUAACACGUGGGUGAUCUGCCCUGCACUUCGGGAUAAGCUUGGGAAACUGGGUCUAAUACCGGAUAGGAGCCAUCUUUAGUGUGGUGGUUGGAAAGUUUUUUCGGUGUAGGAUGAGCUCGCGGCCUAUCAGCUUGUUGGUGGGGUAAUGGCCUACCAAGGCGGCGACGGGUAGCCGGCCUGAGAGGGUGUACGGCCACAUUGGGACUGAGAUACGGCCCAG